CCGAUACCUAUCAGAGACCUGUCAAAGUGUUCCUACAUACUAACGUAUCUAGAAAACAUCUUUUGGCACAAUUGGCUAACGAGGUGCCUUGUAUACAUUACAGUCGUUACAAUACGGUCUUGCACACUGAGAUUCUUGGCAUAACAUAAUCUAGUUCCGCAAACUGACCGAACGGUGUAUUCUUCCGCGUCAACAGCAUCAUCCAAGGACAGCUAGCACGCAGCUUGCUUCUACAUCCUGACAUGUGGUGUUCACACACAGCAAACUGGGUUGCUCCGUCGCUCUUACUGGCUGUAGCAGCUCUCCACAGUGAUGGUGGCAUUACAAUUUUAUGCUACAUGCACAAUGCAAGUUGUAGUGGCUGACACUUUUGGCAUUGACAUGGGAUGAAUAUGGGAGACAGUGGCUACGCGCUGAGGGACUUGCUUAGUAUCCCUUUUUUUUUAAUACAGACACGGAAAAGUUCAACUGUGCCCACAGCUCAACACGGAGCACCAUUGAGAGAACCAAUGAUGUUCUCAAAAAUUGGUUCCAUUUUCUUCAGGCACAACUAAGGUGACUCAGAUGACGGAUGGAAUUCUGGCUACUUGGUACAUCACCUGGUGUGUUUUAUCUGACAGUCAAAAAGAUUUUUUUCAGAAAUGUGCAACUGUCUAGGCAUAAGCCGCUUUGAUGGCUUUGAAUAUUGUUGUCUGGCUCUCAGUGGUGUUGAUGCUGCACGAAAGAAAUAAUUUUUAGAACAAUUGAUUCAUGACAAUUUGACAAGGGAGCACUGAGUACUUACCAUCACAUUAGGUUUUGUAAAGGUGUUGUUUGAAUUACUCUUCUGUGAAAGGUUUCUAUACAAAUGGUUUAUUAUCUUGCUUGUUAUUAUUUGUGAUGCCAAGUAACUAGUAAAAAGCAGUAAUGUUGAUAUUUACUACAUGCUGCUGGUGGGAUUGUGACGGACAUGUUUCUCUCUUUAGAGUUAAUAUUUAGCACUUUUCAC